AACGAACGCUGGCGGCAUGCCUAACACAUGCAAGUCGAACGAGACCUUCGGGUCUAGUGGCGCACGGGUGCGUAACGCGUGGGAACCUGCCCUUAGGUUCGGAAUAACUCCCCGAAAGGGGUGCUAAUACCGGAUAAUGUCUUCGGACCAAAGAUUUAUCGCCUUUGGAUGGGCCCGCGUUGGAUUAGCUAGUUGGUAGGGUAAAAGCCUACCAAGGCGACGAUCCAUAGCUGGUCUGAGAGGAUGAUCAGCCACACUGGGACUGAGACACGGCCCAGACUGCUACGGGAGGCAGCAGUGGAGAAUAUUGGACAAUGGGCGAAAGCCUGAUCCAGCAAUGCCGCGUGAGUGAUGAAGGCCUUAGGGUUGUAAAGCUCUUUUACCCGAGAUGAUAAUGACAGUACCGGGAGAAUAAGCUCCGGCUAACUCCGUG
rnacentral:rRNA from 1 species